GAUGAAGAACGUAGCGAAAUGCGAUAAGUAAUGCGGAUUGCAGAAUCCGUGAGUCAUCGAAUCUUUGAACGCACAUUGCGCCCCUUGGUUAUUCCGAAGGGCAUGCCUGUUCGAGCGUCAUUAUCACCCCUCAAGCCCUGGCUUGGUGUUGGACUUUAGUUAUAGCUUUGCCUAUCAACUGGUCUCAAAGAUAGUGACGGCGCCCCAGAGGGAACCGGGUACGAGGAGCUUUUUACUAAGCAUGUAUCUGGGACGACUCUGGGCGACGGUCUUGUUAUACUUUUUACCUAAGUGUUGACCUCGGAUCAGGUAGGAAUACCCGCUGAACUUAAGCAUAUCAAUAAGCGGAGGA
rnacentral:misc_RNA from 1 species